rnacentral:rRNA from 1 species
UACAGAGGUCCCGAGCGUUGUUCGGAUUCAUUGGGCGUAAAGGGUGCGUAGGUGGCGCUGUAAGUGGGGUGUGAAAUCCCGGGGCUUAACUCCGGAACUGCAUUCCAUACUGCGGUGCUUGAGGACUGGAGAGGAGACUGGAAUUUACGGUGUAGCAGUGAAAUGCGUAGAGAUCGUAAGGAAGACCAGUGGCGAAGGCGGGUCUCUGGACAGUUCCUGACAUUGAGGCACGAAGGCCAGGGGAGCAAACGGG